rnacentral:tRNA from 1 species
GCCAGUUUCAUUUUUGGCUCAGUGGUAGAGCAUUUGGUUGGCAUGCAGAGGGCCCUGGGUUUAAUCCUCGGCAACUCCAGGUA